rfam:Cavia porcellus supercont2_10 genomic scaffold, whole genome shotgun sequence.
GGUUUAGCUCAGUGGCAUAAGCGCCUGCCUUGAAAGCAGGCGGUCAUGAGUUCGAACCCCGGUACCG